AAAAUGACAACAACCCCGAUGAUCACCGCUGCAACGAGGCACCCGAGCAGUGCUUCAUAUCCUAGAGAUAAUUCUCAGAAGGGAAAAAAAAAUUCAAAGUACAGAUAGAAAGGAAAGGGAAAGGGAGGUCCACUCUCUAAGCAGUCGUUAUUAGCAAUGAUGACUAGCAAUUGCCGGCCAAGGGGUAGGAACAAAAGAAGCCAAAACAAGGAGAAUAUUGUAUUUUAUAAUUAUCGGGCCGGGUCUGGAUCAGAAUACAACAUCAACCAAGGCUCAUGUCAGCUUCAUAUGAGCCAAGCUAAAAAACUAUGACAUCCAUCGAAAGAGCAACAACUGGAGCAAGACAUCUGGCAUUGGAGUCUAAUGUUUGGUGCACUACUGUAUUCUCCCUGUUCUUUCCAAGCGAAGAGGGAUAAGACUAGUUCCACCGCUGCAUCCCAGAAGAGAUUCUCUGAUCUCAUGUUAUUUCACAUAUCAUGUUAUGCUGACAAUUUCUGCUGGGCAAAAAACGACCAAUUGAUCAUCUAGAGAUCCAAGAAUCAAGAGCCUGGAAACCUCCAUGAAACAACCAGUACUUUCCCUGAUCAACUAGCAAGGUGCAAAAACAGAUUGCAUUACAAGCCUCAGAUGAUAUGAACGGCAAGAUGUCCGAUGGAUAAAGACAAUACACCCCAAAGUUGCUACGCCCUUUGCCUUUUGUGAUGCAACAGCACAUCUGCCAAUCAUGUGCACGCAAGCGCUUUCAACAGGAGAUGGCAGCAUGUUUAGAGAUUAAGGAUACGGGCACUACUGCUACAAAGUGAAGCUUUUGGACAACUUCUAGGUCCCAAGAAGCCGCAAGCUAAAAAGAAGGAAAAAUUUCUAGGAGGUUUUUUUCGUGAGCUGCAGCUUCUUGUAGUGCAAAGUGAGAAACUUGUCUAGACUAGUUUCUGGGGCUUCUCCACCCACCUUUUCUGGAAUUGCCACCACGACACAUCAUAUUUACGGUCUAAAUGCCACCGCCAAGUUACCAACAUUCCACGAACCGUUUCGCCCCGACUCCUGCCCAACUGCAGCUCCUCACCGACCGCCAAAGUGUAGCCUGGCCACCACAGUAGCUGCUUGCCGAAGUGUAGUGGCCGCGAGGUAAGACUGACCCCUGACAACCAUCACCCCCUGCCUCUUGCUGAGAUUCCAGAGCUUGAACUCUCGAGAGAUGGGAUUGUGUUGUUCAUCAUACAGCAUGUGAUUUGUUUGCCAUUUUAAAAGGUUGAAACCUUGAUAAUGUUGCUGGAGUUUUGAUGUAACUUGUGUAAUUCUAUUCUAUAUUUUGAGAAAACGACUGAAGACAGACAUUCUUGUAAGUUGUAUCCACAUUAUAAUAAAUAUUUUUGAGAUGGACAGUUUAUGACCAA